GGGCCCAUAGCUCAGUUGGCUAGAGCGUUCGCAUGGCAUGCGAAAGGUCGGGAGUUCGAGUCUCCCUGGGUCCA
rnacentral:tRNA from 1 species